rnacentral:lncRNA from 1 species
CAGCAAUGCACUGGGCAUGGCACGCUCAGCCCCUCUGCACCUCGACCUGCAGCAGCUCGUGGUGCCCGCCGUGCCCCUGGCUGAGAGCGCAGAGACGACGGCGGGGUCACCUCCCACCACCACCAUCCGUUGGCGACAGCAGACAGAACUGCAGGACGUGCGCUGCGAGGAGCGGCACAAGGCAGUGGGUGCUGCGGAGUGGCAUGUGACAGCAUGGGACAGUGCAGUGCAGCGUGGACACCAGCUUCAGAGUGCCACCCGCUACGUGUUCCAGGCACGGUGCCGGCUCAGCGCUGCAGGCAGCCCCUGGAGUGCUUGGGGCCUGCCCUUCACCUACAGCACACCCGAGGCUGGUAAGUGGUGGGAGGGCAUUGCCGGGCCACGCUGUGC